UACGUAGGGGGCUAGCGUUGUCCGGAAUCAUUGGGCGUAAAGAGCGUGUAGGCGGCUUGGUAAGUCCGCUGUGAAAGUCCAGGGCUCAACCCUGGAAAGCCAGUGGAAACUGUCAAGCUAGAGUCCGGAAGAGGCGAGUGGAACUCCUGGUGUAGCGGUGAAAUGCGCAGAUAUCAGGAAGAACACCGAUGGCGAAGGCAGCUCGCUGGGACGGUACUGACGCUGAGACGCGAAAGCGUGGGGAGCAAACAGG
rnacentral:rRNA from 1 species